GUAUACCAUAUUUUUUUAUGGUCCAAUGAGAAGUUUCUCUUUUUCUUUUUUUUAAUCUCCUUUCUUUCUCUCUCUUUCUGUAAAGUUUAAGUUUUGUCUUUGAUUUUAAAUGUGUAUUUAUGUUAUAUCAGGCUAACAAAUAUGGAGUUAUUUGAUAUAAAAAGUUCGACAUUCAGAAAUCAAAUAUAACAAGCAAAGACAACGGAGGGAGUAACACAUAUGGACGGACAAUUAAACGUAUAAAUCCAGUAAGAUCAUCCAAGGCAUGCAUUAUCUAUUAUUAUUCAUCAACAAUGUUUCAUCAUCUUCUUCUUCUUAAUCUUUCUGUACGUGUACAAAGCCUUCCUCAAAAUAGCUCAACUGUUGAAUUUCUUCCUGGUUUCGAUGGCCCUCUUCCUUUUUAUCUUGAGGCUGGCUUUUGAAGAUCAAGAAAGGUUGCAGUAGUAGUCUUCUCAAGAAAUUUGCUGAAGUGAUGUAUUUUGAAGUUUUCAGAUACAUUGGAGUUGUCAAAUCUGAGGAAGUGCAACUAUUCUAUUACUUUGUUAAAUCAGAGUCCUACCCAAAGAAAGAUGAUUUGGUGUUUGUCUCAGAUGUGUUUACAAAACUGACAGUCAAAAAGUAGAUGAUUCAAGCUCUCGUUAUCGGUGUAGCAAAAUGCACAUUCUUGAUCUGUUAUAAUCCCCAUUUGCUCAAUCUAUCUUUAGUAUAUUGUUAGAAAGUAGGAGAACAUGUUUGUAGUUUUGAUGAUUGACAAAUUAUAAACUAGGAAUAAUUGACAAAUGUAAAAUGCUAUGAUUCUCAAAGUUGUGCUUUUAAGCACAAGAUUUAGCUGAAGUUACUAGGGCAAGUUUGCCAAAAGGACACUAUGGAAAACAAUUUUGCCAAAGUUUUAAACUUGUUGAAUAAUUUGCUAAAAAGACACUUAAAUCCACAUCAUCAUCAAUUUUUCCAACUUAAAAGCU